AAAAAUGCAGACACGUCAGAAGAAAUGCAACAGGACUCAGUAGAGUGCGCUACUCAGGCGUUGGAGAAGUACAACAUAGAGAAGAAUAUUGUGACCCAAAUCAAGAAGGAGUUUGACAAGAAGUACAGCCCUACUUGGCACUGAGCCAAAACUUCAAUAGAUACGUGACACAUGAAACCAAACACUUCAUCUACUUCUACCUGGGUCAGGUGGCCAUUCUUCCGUUCAAAUCUGGU
rnacentral:lncRNA from 1 species